GACGAACGCUGGCGGCGUGCUUAACACAUGCAAGUCGAACGGUGAAGGGACCAGCUUGCUGGUUCUGGAUGAGUGGCGAACGGGUGAGUAACACGUGAGUAACCUGCCCCCUUCUUCUGGAUAACCGCAUGAAAGUGUGGCUAAUACGGGAUAUUCUGGGUCUGUCGCAUGGCGGGCCCGGGAAAGAUAUUGCUUCGGUGGGGGAUGGGCUCGCGGCCUAUCAGCUUGUUGGUGGGGUGAUGGCCUACCAAGGCGGUGACGGGUAGCCGGCCUGAGAGGGUGGACGGUCACACUGGGACUAAGACACAGCCCAGACUCCUACGGGAGGCAGCAGUGGGGAAUAUUGCACAAUGGGCGCAAGCCUGAUGCAGCGACGCCGCGUGAGGGAUGGAGGCCUUCGGGUUGUAAACCUCUUUCGCCAGUGAAGCAGGCCUGCUCCUUGUGGGUGGGUUGACGGUAGCUGGAGAAGAAGCGCCGGCUAACUACGUG
rnacentral:rRNA from 1 species